UACGGGGGGGGCAAGCGUUGUUCGGAAUUACUGGGCGUAAAGGGCGCGUAGGCGGUUUGUUAAGUUGGAUGUGAAAACUGUGGGCUUAACCCAUAGCCUGCAUCCAAAACUAGCAGGCUAGAGUUCUGGAGGGGAUAGCGGAAUUCCUGGUGUAGCGGUGAAAUGCGUAGAUAUCGGGAGGAAUACCGAUGGCGAAGGCAGGUCUCUGGGCUAUAACUGACGCUCAUGCACGAAAGCGUGGGGAGCAAACAGG
rnacentral:rRNA from 1 species